rnacentral:lncRNA from 1 species
UUAGAGUUUUUUAAAAUUUUAUAAAACACAAGAUUACCGAUUUAUUAAACCUUUAUUUAUCAUAACAGGGAGUAAGGUGAUGGAUUCUUACCCAGAUCAGUGUUUCGACAUGUUGUGCUACCCACUACACCUCCUUACGGGUCCCCGAUUUCCUGAAUUUUUCAUGCAGAAAUCAAACUACUCGUCACGUACUCAAAAAUACUUUAAAAUUUCAAAAUUGGUGUUGAAAAUCCUUUCUGGCCAAUUUUAGGGUCUGGCACGGCGGUGCCGCUGUGCUCCGGCGCCGGCUUUGUCGCCCAAGGCGGUGGUUUACCUCGGCUUAGCCGAUUUUGACAUGUUUUGGUUGGUUUUACACUUAUUCCUGCAAAAAUACAUUAGGAAGUUUCAGUUGACUAGAAAAAAAAAAAAUCGAACCUAACAGUUUGGGGUGGCGGGGUCACCAGGUGUACCGGCUCCACCAGUUCUCCUUCAUUUUCUCCUUCAGCUAAUCUGCACAGAAAGGGAUAGUGAACACAAUGGUCAAAGAAUCGUAUAAAACGAAAAACGGGAAGGGGGUCAUCGGAAGGAGUUUAGGGUUUUGGCUGCGGCAACUCUGCCAGACUUUGCCUGUGGUUUUCAACUCAUCCAUCAUCCCUUUUGCUUUAAUAUGUUCAUAGGGAGACUCAAAAUCGAAUUCUGAAUGGGAAUGAGAAACUUUUACCCUUUUUGGUGGUCGGCGGUGACUCCGGUGCACAGCAUCUGGGGGUCGGUCUUUUUCUCUAGCGUUUGGUUAUUUUUCUCCAGUGAGGG